GAUGAACGCUGGCGGCGUGCCUAAUACAUGCAAGUCGAGCGAACAGAUGGGGAGCUUGCUCCUCUGACGUUAGCGGCGGACGGGUGAGUAACACGUGGAUAACCUACCUAUAAGACUGGGAUAACUUCGGGAAACCGGAGCUAAUACCGGAUAAUAUAUUGAACCGCAUGGUUCAAUAGUGAAAGACGGUUUUGCUGUCACUUAUAGAUGGAUCCGCGCCGCAUUAGCUAGUUGGUAAGGUAACGGCUUACCAAGGCAACGAUGCGUAGCCGACCUGAGAGGGUGAUCGGCCACACUGGAACUGAGACACGGUCCAGACUCCUACGGGAGGCAGCAGUAGGGAAUCUUCCGUAAUGGGCGAAAGCCUGACGGAGCAACGCCGCGUGAGUGAUGAAGGUCUUCGGAUCGUAAAACUCUGUUAUUAGGGAAGAACAAAUGUGUAAGUAACUAUGCACGUCUUGACGGUACCUAAUCAGAAAGCCACGGCUAACUACGUG
rnacentral:rRNA from 1 species